rnacentral:rRNA from 1 species
CCUACGGGAGGCAGCAGUGGGGAAUAUUGCACAAUGGGGGAAACCCUGAUGCAGCGACGCCGCGUGAGUGAAGAAGUAUUUCGGUAUGUAAAGCUCUAUCAGCAGGGAAGAAAAUGACGGUACCUUACUAAGAAGCCCCGGCUAACUACGUGCCAGCAGCCGCGGUAAUACGGGGGAUGCAAGCGUUAUCCGGAUUUAUUGGGUUUAAAGGGUGCGUAGGCUGUGAGGUAAGUCAGCGGUGAAAUGCCCCCGCUCAACGAGGUGGAGUGCCAUGUAUACUGCCUUGCUGGAAUGCGGAUGCCGUAGGAGGAAUGUGUGGUGUAGCGGUGAAAUGCAUAGAUAUCACACAGAACACCGAUUGCGAAGGCAUGUCACGAAUCCGCGAUUGACGCUGAUGCACGAAAGCGUGGGUAUCAAACAGGAUUAGAUACCCUUGUAGUC